GAUGAACGCUAGCGAUAGGCUUAACACAUGCAAGUCGAGGGGCAGCAUGGUCUUAGCUUGCUAAGACUGAUGGCGACCGGCGCACGGGUGCGUAACGCGUAUGCAACUUGCCUCACAGAGGGGGAUAACCCGUCGAAAGACGGACUAAUACCGCGUACACUUGGGAUAGGGCAUCCUGACCCAAGGAAAUGAAAUUCGCUGUGAGAUAGGCAUGCGUCCCAUUAGCUAGUUGGUGAGGUAACGGCUCACCGAGGCGACGAUGGGUAGGGGAACUGAGAGGUUGAACCCCCACACUGGUACUGAGACACGGACCAGACUCCUACGGGAGGCAGCAGUGAGGAAUAUUGGUCAAUGGGCGAGAGCCUGAACCAGCCAAGUCGCGUGAAGGAUGACUGUCUUAUGGAUUGUAAACUUCUUUUAUACGGGAAUAACAAGAGCCACGUGUGGCUCCCUGCAUGUACCGUAUGAAUAAGCAUCGGCUAACUCCGUG
rnacentral:rRNA from 1 species